GACGAACGCUGGCGGCGUGCUUAACACAUGCAAGUCGAGCGGUAAGGCCCCUUCGGGGGUACACGAGCGGCGAACGGGUGAGUAACACGUGAGCAAUCUGCCCAUCACAUCGGGAUAACUCCGGGAAACCGAAGCUAAUACCGAAUACGACCACCUCCGGCAUCGGAUGGUGGUGGAAAGUUCCGGCGGUGAUGGAUGAGCUCGCGGCCUAUCAGCUUGUUGGUGGGGUAACGGCCCACCAAGGCUUCGACGGGUAGCCGGCCUGAGAGGGUGACCGGCCACACUGGGACUGAGACACGGCCCAGACUCCUACGGGAGGCAGCAGUCGGGAAUAUUAGACAAUGGGCGAAAGCCUGAUCCAGCAACGCCGCGUGAGGGAUGACGGCCUUCGGGUUGUAAACCUCUUUCAGCAGGGACGAAGCGCAAGUGACGGUACCUGCAGAAGAAGCACCGGCCAACUACGUG
rnacentral:rRNA from 1 species